GCCGGGCAUGGUGGUGCGUGCCUGUAGUCCCAGCUAUUUGGGAAGCUGAGGCAGGAGAAUCGCUUGAGCCCAGGAGGCGGAGGUUGCAGUGAGCCGAGAUCGUGCCACUGCACAUCAGCCUGGGCAACAGAGUGAGACUCUGUCUCUU
rnacentral:SRP_RNA from 2 species